rnacentral:lncRNA from 1 species
UGGCAUACAGAGAAAUGUCAUCUUUAUCGUUCUUGACAUGAUUGGUCACUGUUUGUGCAUUUUCAAUGUUUUGAAAUGAUGUUGAUAUGAUUAUUAUUGGUUCUUCGUACGUAAUUAAAUAAAUAUAAGACUAUAUAAUUUAGAUAUGAAUAUAUAGAGAUAUUUUUUUGUUAAACAUUAACAUUUCCCACUUGAGAUAUUCACUCACAUAUUCUCUCACAUAUUCUCUAACGAAUAUUUUUUUUCCACCAGCUCUAAUCUCAAUUGCCGGU